GACAUCAUAGUGGAAAAAAACCAGCAGCACAAACAUUAUAACUGAAAGGUGAUGAAGGUAGUGAUCUCAUGGGGGAAGAGUUUCUGGAACAGUAGCGGGGGAAGGAGAGAAGGUCUGCAUCCAACUGUGAGGCCACAUUCUUGGCUCUGGAUAGCUCCGGAGACGUCACCCGGGUCAUGAGGUGUUUCGCAUAACAAGGGCGUUUUGAUGUUAAAGGCAAUUCAUCAAGCAUUACUUCUGCUCCCAGAGGCCAUAGCAGCACAGAGCGAAGAGGAAAAUGGACUCGUACGAUAUAAUCCUUAUUUGAUCUUAACAGAUCCAUUCUCUUUAAACGUUGUUUGCAGGAUCAGAUAGCAGCCCCUCGGUGUGUUCAAAAUGGGUGCUUUCCAAAAGAUAGAGGAAUUUGGGUCACAUUUUAAAAUAACUCCACUCAUGUGCUGCUCUAACUAAUCUGCAGAUUCAAAAUAAUCCCCUAAUGCUGUAAUAACCCUUUAUAUAAUUAUGUAUGGCUUUUAUUCACAAUAUAUGUAAUAGUUUGAAUAAACUGUUACAUUCAGCGGUCCAUCUGGCCAGUGUUAGCAUGGACAAUUAUUCCUAAACUGGUUGUGAAUCAGGUUAUGACCUACAGGGCAAUGGAGGGAAUCUGUGAUGGUGAGCUUUUUUGUUUAAUAUUAAUGUUUACUACAACAUGGCUAUGGCACUAACUGGUCUAUUGUAAUGUGCAU